ACCUCUGCAAUAGGCGAAAGCCUGACAGGGUUACUCUGAGUGAUUUCCGCUAAGGAGAUCUUUUGGCACCUCUAAAAAUGGUGCAGAAUAAGGGGUGGGCAAGCCUGGUGUCAGCCGCCGCGGUAAUACCAGCACCCCGAGUGGUCGGGACGAUUAUUAGGCCUAAAGCAUCCGUAGCCGGUUCUACAAGUCUUCCGUUAAAUCCACCUGCUUAACAGUUGGGCUGCAGAGGAUACUAUAGAGCUAGGAGGCGGGAGAGGCAAGCGGUACUUAGUGGGUAGGGGUAAAAUCCGUUGAUCCACUGAAGACCACCAGUGGCGAAGGCGGCUUGCCAGAACGCGCUCGACGGUGAGGGAUGAAAGCUGGGGGAGCAAACCGGAUUAGAUACCCGGGUAGUCCCAGCUGUAAACGAUGCAGACUCGGUGAUGGGUUGGCUUCGCGCCAACCCAGUGCCGCAGGGAAGCCGUUAAGUCUGCCGCCUGGGGAGUACGGUCGCAAGACUGAAACUUAA
rnacentral:rRNA from 1 species